UACGUGCCCAGCAGCCGCGGUAAUACGUAGGGUGCGAGCGUUGUCCGGAAUUACUGGGCGUAAAGAGCUCGUAGGUGGUUUGUCGCGUUGUUCGUGAAAACUCCCAGCUUAACUGUGGGCGUGCGGGCGAUACGGGCAGACUGGAGUACUGCAGGGGAGACUGGAAUUCCUGGUGUAGCGGUGGAAUGCGCAGAUAUCAGGAGGAACACCGGUGGCGAAGGCGGGUCUCUGGGCAGUAACUGACGCUGAGGAGCGAAAGCGUGGGGAGCGAACAGGAUUAGAUACCCUGGUAGUCCACGCCGUAAACGGUGGGUACUAGGUGUGGGUUUCCUUCCUUGGGAUCCGUGCCGUAGCUAACGCAUUAAGUACCCCGCCUGGGGAGUACGGCCGCAAGGCUAAAACUCAAAGGAAUUGACGGGGGCCCGCACAAGCGGCGGAGCAUGUGGAUUAAUUCGAUGCAACGCGAAGAACCUUACCUGGGUUUGACAUGCACAGGACGCCGGCAGAGAUGUCGUUUCCCUUGUGGCCUGUGUGCAGGUGGUGCAUGGCUGUCGUCAGCUCGUGUCGUGAGAUGUUGGGUUAAGUCCCGCAACGAGCGCAACCCUUGUCUCAUGUUGCCAGCACGUUAUGGUGGGGACUCGUGAGAGACUGCCGGGGUCAACUCGGAGGAAGGUGGGGAUGACGUCAAGUCAUCAUGCCCCUUAUGUCCAGGGCUUCACACAUGCUACAAUGGCCGGUACAAAGGGCUGCGAUGCCGUGAGGUGGAGCGAAUCCUUUCAAAGCCGGUCUCAGUUCGGAUCGGGGUCUGCAACUCGACCCCGUGAAGUCGGAGUCGCUAGUAAUCGCAGAUCAGCAACGCUGCGGUGAAUACGUUCCCGGGCCUUGUACACACCGCCCGUCACGUCAUGAAAGUCGGUAACACCCGAAGCCGGUGGCCUAACCCUUG
rnacentral:rRNA from 1 species